CCUACGGGGGACAGCAGUGAGGAAUAUUGGUCAAUGGGCGCUAGCCUGAACCAGCCAAGUAGCGUGAAGGAUGACUGCCCUAUGGGUUGUAAACUUCUUUUAUAUGGGAAUAAAGUGCAGUAUGUAUACUGCUUUGCAUGUACCUUAUGAAUAAGGAUCGGCUAACUCCGUGCCAGCAGCCGCGGUAAUACGGAGGAUCCGAGCGUUAUCCGGAUUUAUUGGGUUUAAAGGGAGCGUAGGCGGGUUGUUAAGUCAGUUGUGAAAGUUUGCGGCUCAACCGUAAAAUUGCAGUUGAUACUGGCAGCCUUGAGUACAGUAGAGGUAGGCGGAAUUCGUGGUGUAGCGGUGAAAUGCUUAGAUAUCACGAAGAACUCCGAUUGCGAAGGCAGCCUGCUGGACUGUAACUGACGCUGAUGCUCGAAAGUGUGGGUAUCAAACAGGAUUAGAUACCCCGGUAGUC
rnacentral:rRNA from 1 species